rnacentral:lncRNA from 1 species
AUGCGUGCUUUCCAAUAUGUGUAGUUUAUGCCAUUAAACAGUGAAGGUCUAUCAAUUAACUGUCCCUCUCCUAGAAAACUAUCUAUUUGAGUUGUCAUGAUCUUUGGCUCUUGAUCGUGAGAUCAACAAUUGAUCUUGAGCACCUGCUCUGAUACCACUUGUUGCCCAAGAUGACAACCCAAGAGGGGGGGUGAAUUGGGUUUUCUAAAAAUUGUGUUUCCUAAUUUUUUACUUUAAAUUGAAUGUAGCGGAAUGAUAAGAUGUUACUUACUUAAGCUCUAGGUAAUUAUAAGUAAU